GACGUAGGAGGCGAGCGUUUGUCCGGAUUCAUUGGGCGUAAAGAGCGCGCAGGCGGCUUGGUAAGUCGGAUGUGAAAUCCCGAGGCUCAACCUCGGGUCUGCAUCCGAUACUGCCCGGCUAGAGGUAGGUAGGGGAGAUCGGAAUUCCUGGUGUAGCGGUGAAAUGCGCAGAUAUCAGGAGGAACACCGGUGGCGAAGGCGGAUCUCUGGGCCUUACCUGACGCUCAGGCGCGAAAGCUAGGGGAGCGAACUGG
rnacentral:rRNA from 1 species